AGACCCGUAGCUCAGUUGGUUAGAGCGCUGCCUUGACAUGGCAGAGGUCGGCGGUUCAAAUCCGCCCGGGUCUACCA
rnacentral:tRNA from 2 species